rnacentral:lncRNA from 1 species
CUGGGAUUUACACGCAGGGCUUGAAAUACUUAGUUUUCUGUCUAAAGAAUCAGCUGAAGCUCAGGCUAAGCCCCGCUAUUCACUGCAAUUCAGUUAUAUAAAACAAACACUUGUAAAGCAAUUACUACUUGUCAAGGCUGUGCUAAGGGGAUAUAAGAAAAUUACACACAAUGAACAAGAAAACAGCGUAAGCCUCAGGAGCUAACAGACCAGCUGCAGAAAAACAUCAGAAGGAAGGUCUCACAACGCAGAUGAUGCUUCCACGGACCGUGAAGGACGAAUCCUAUGAGGAUCUCCACAUCUUGCUAUGGUAAUGGAGCUUGCAUCAAUUAAUCUUCAUGCUGAGAAUAACUAUGUAAACUGGAUAAGCUACAAACAUCAGCUCUUUGAAGUUUUUGGAGAAUAAUUAUGACAGCCAGAACUUGAGGGGCCAAGAUCAAGGAGCCAAGAAAAAUCACAGAAAAACUCAGAGUUUCUUCUCAAAUGUACACUGAUAAAUACUCAACUGAAGAUUCAACUGAAAUCCUCUAUGGGUCUCCAGACUCCCCCAUUCUGGAACUCUUCCCUGCAAAUUCCAGCUGCCUAAACUCCCUUCCAUCUCUCAGUUUCUCUAUAACUGAGGAACACCGUCAGGCUCCAGCUGGAUUUUCCUUCCUUGUGCACUGAUCUGGAAAGUCUUUCACAUCAGUAAGUGAGGGAAAUCAUAGAGUUCUCCUGGAUAGAAGAGGCCCUGGUUAGCAGCUUCAGAUGAUGGAUACAUAAAAAUGGGAGAGAGAAAACAUAUAAGAGUGACUAAUUGUUGAGUUUCCAGGGCUCAAACCAAUCUUGAAUUGGAAUUUCAAGACAUAAAAACCACUGCAGGAACCUGCUGGAGAAACGGCCUCUGGUAUCUCUAUCUGAAAUAUGAUUAUCUUAAGUUCGCAAAGCAUUGUGUCUGCAGUGUGAGUUUGAAAACAACAAUGUUAAGGCAACUUCGCAGCUUCUUAAUCAAGCCCUUCUCCAUCUCUCCGUGUGGUUUUUGGGGUGGUGGAGGUGGAGCCAAAAAAGAGAGGGCAGUUUCCCAGGGCUGAAGAUGCUACCAUGACUCAUAGGAUCUAUGCAAACCCUGUGAGUGAAUUCUGAGGAAGAAGAAUGAGUAAUAUUUUGAUUUUAUUACUGAUGGUAAUAAGAUAGUAUCAUCAGUGUGGUAUAUUCUGAUUACUGAAUUCUAUUCCCUAUUUUCUUCCUGUGGCCAAAUAAAAUUUGUGUGUGUAAGCUAUGAUAUUUAGUGUUGUUAUCUGAUGAGACAGGUUUAGUGGAAAAGUUCAUUUUAAAUAAACAUUAAAAUUGUUUCAGCCUCAGAUUUUUAAUCCAAAUCAUUCCUUUGACACCAGAAGAAUUUUCCUCAGAGUCAACUCCAAAGAUAAAGCUGCCUGUUUUCCUAUUUGCCCAGAAGUAAAGAGGUUGCAAAA